GAGGGCCGACCAGGACCGGAGGGGCCUGGGGGAUGGUGGGGAGGGGCCAGAAGAGAAGUGAGGAGGGGCUCCGUCCACCUGGCCGCCUCGUCCGUCCGCGCCGACCUGCCGCCUGGGCCGCGCCGCUCGCGGGGUCUCCCAGGACGGCAGAGGCUGGUCCCGAGGGGCUCCACCACCCGGUCCCGACGCGUUCCUGCGGGCACCCUGGGCUCCGCCCCGCCACCUGCCUGCAGGUCUGGGAGGGUCGCCUCCUCCGCCGGGGGGCCGGGGGCACCUUCCUGGCGGGCCCGCCUGUGCCCGGCAGUGUCGGGACACUCCUAGAAGGACCCCUGGGGACCUGAGCUCGUUGGAGGGACACCAGGGCUGGGCAUCAGUUUCCCAAAGGGCUCAGACCCACAGUGAGCCCCGCCGUGUCCCUUGCUCCUGCCCCAGCGCCUCCUUAGCGCUACCCGCGGUCCGAGCCCCUCGUGGCGCGGCGCGGCCGGUAGAAGCGGAUCCCGGCCCUGCCGGUGCUGCGCGGAGGGGGGUGAGCGGCCACCCAGAGGGAACGUGACCCCAUCUCCCCCACCCGGGAUCAGAGCAAGACUCCCCUUCCGGAGAACUGGGCUGGGGUCCCGGCUGCGUCACCGCCAGUGCCUUGCGCAACCCUGGUUGUGUCAACGCAGGUGCCUCGGGUCCCAGUGACUCUGCAGCGCCGAGGAGGGUGGGAUCUCUGGGACCACCCCUCCGGGGUCACAGAUGAGGACAGGCGGAGGCUCUGGAGGGGGUGGGGUCGUAGGUGGAGGGCAAGGUCACUCCUUCGCCUGGCUGACCAGCAUCAGAACCCCCUGGGUCCCUGGGUGGCUCCUGAAUCUCCAGGCUGCCGGGGCACAGGAAGGGACGGCCCGCGUCCUGGGCCCCUCUGCGGGCGGCCUGCGGGGACCUGCCGGCCGCGGGGCCCGGCCGCGCGGAGCUCCCACAGUGUCCCCGUGUGGCUGCCGAGGGCGCUGCAGGGCCCGGCUGGGACGGCGCCGGCUGCCGCAGGCUCCAAGGGGACGGAAGGAUGCAGGGCUCCCGCUUCGCCUGGGAGAGGCGGGCGCUCACCUCCCAGGGGUUCUUAGCCAUUAUUUUGACCUGAAAGGGCAGCUCGUCGCCUCCACAGUGCAGAUGAGGAAGUGGCGAACUCGCUCAAGUUCAUCUGCCCACCUUCAGCGCAUUAGGACUAGGACCCCACCGGGGAGUCCCCGCACCUUCCCAGUGGCCGGGGAUCGGGAUUCAGCCUGCCUCAGCCCCGCCCACCUCGUGGCAACUCCCUGAGCCCAGGCAGACGAGAGCUCGCUGCAGCCUGGGGCCCGCACCCACCGCAGCUUUCCUUGCCCACCUCUGCCGCCCACUCACUCCCAGACGUUCCGCACCCGCACUUCCAGGCCUCCCUGCCUCUGCAGGUGCAGGGUUUGGCCCUCACCAGCGGGAGGCCCAGGUCGAGCACAGCGGAGGGCAGGGCCUCCAGCCAAGUCCAGCCACCAGACAUCAGCUUGCCGUCCUUCCACGGCUUGGCCUGCUGCAGAGAAGACCCGCGCCAGGGUGGCUGCCCUCCAGGUCCCAUUUCCUCAGGAAAAAGAGCUUCUGUGGUCUGGGGUACACCUGGCUCUCCACGUGCCGUGUCUCAGCACUGCUCGGUUCAGACGCCUGUUCAAAUGUGGGUCCUUCUGGGGCCCCAGAGCAAGGCCAUACCUCUCUGGGUGCCAGUUUGGUCCCCAAUAAAAGGGAGAUCUGGGCCAGGCAUUGAACCAGCCACUGCAGAUGAGGGGGAUAGCUUCUCAUUCACCCCUGUGUGCCCACUUCCAGCUCCCAGCAUGAUUGAUGCUUGGCACAGAAGUGGUCUCAGACACAGGUCACUACACAAAUAUCUGGAAACCUAACCUAAGUACCCACACAGGCUUCCUGGAGGAGGUGGCAGCCUCUGGACCAGUGCCUCCACCCAGCACCUCCUCAGGGAGUCCAGCCAUGGUGCUCCCCCAGCUGACCGUAACCCCCUGGCCACCCCGGUGUGGUCCCCUUGGCCGGUUCCUUCCUGCCUCCUGCAUCUCUAAGAGUGGGGUUGCCCUAGCUCCUUCUCUGUGGGCAUGCACCACAUGCCAGCAACUUGGAUGUCUGCUGCCAGCAUGGCGCUUAUCUGAGACCAGACCCACAGGUCCAUCUGCCUCCCUGCCAUCUCUGCUUGGAUGCCAGCAGGCUUCUCCACUCUAAGAUGUUCAAAACAAAACCUCUGCGCACAGAAUAGCCAAGUUGGAUAUAAACAAACUUUGAGAAUCUCUUAUGUUUAGAAAUUAAGGUAUUUAUAUCUGUAGCUAAUCCAUGGGUAAAAUGAGAAAUCACAAUGGAAAUUAGAAAACAAUUUGAACCCGAUAAUAAUGAACAUUAUUACAUCAAAAUCUGUGGGAUGGUACUAAAGCCUUGCUUAGAAAGAAAAAUACAUAUUAGAAGAAGAAAGUGGGAAUGUAUAAUGGUACAGCCACUAUGGAAAACAGUAUGGCAGUUCCUACAGGGGGUGGGGAAUUGCCCUGUGACACGGCAACCCCAC